rnacentral:rRNA from 1 species
UGAACGCUGGCGGCGUGCCUAAUACAUGCAAGUCGAGCGAACAGACGAGGAGCUUGCUCCUCUGACGUUAGCGGCGGACGGGUGAGUAACACGUGGAUAACCUACCUAUAAGACUGGGAUAACUUCGGGAAACCGGAGCUAAUACCGGAUAAUAUAUUGAACCGCAUGGUUCAAUAGCGAAAGACGGUUUUGCUGUCACUUAUAGAUGGAUCCGCGCCGCAUUAGCUAGUUGGUAAGGUAACGGCUUACCAAGGCGACGAUGCGUAGCCGACCUGAGAGGGUGAUCGGCCACACUGGAACUGAGACACGGUCCAGACUCCUACGGGAGGCAGCAGUAGGGAAUCUUCCGCAAUGGGCGAAAGCCUGACGGAGCAACGCCGCGUGAGUGAUGAAGGUCUUCGGAUCGUAAAACUCUGUUAUUAGGGAAGAACAAAUGUGUAAGUAACUAUGCACGUCUUGACGGUACCUAAUCAGAAAGCCACGGCUAACUACGUG